rnacentral:rRNA from 1 species
AUUUAUAGUUUUGUAAUUGGAAUGAGUUAAGUAUAAACCCCUUUACAAGUAUCAAUUGGAGGGCAAGUCUGGUGCCAGCAGCCGCGGUAAUUCCAGCUCCAAUAGCGUAUAUUAAAGUUGUUGCAGUUAAAAAGCUCGUAGUUGGAUUUCUGUUAAUUUUCUAUAUAUAAUAUUUUUAAUAUUUAUAUAGUAUUAACAUAAUUCAUAUUACUUAUUUUAAGUAUAUGAAAUUUUACUU